ACCGGGUCCAAACUAAAAAUAUGUCGCAGGACGGGAUGUCUAGGAUGUCCAGAACCCUGUCUGCUAGAAGAUGCUGCCUCGCAGCGGGAUCCAGACAAGUGAUGCACGCCGAUGGACGCAGAAGGGGACCACGCAGGCGAGACACACGGGAGGCUGAACCGUCUCAUUUCUUUACCUCCUGGUUGGAUUUGGACUCUUCGCCUGGCUGCUUCACCUGGAUGUAUGAGUGCCCCCCCCACCCGCCUGUCCCCAGAAAUCAGUCAAUACGGAUUGAAACCGAGAGCUCCCAGCACAUCACCUGGUCCACAACAUGACAG